rnacentral:misc_RNA from 1 species
GAAGACAUUGAUAUUGAAGGUUGAUUCUGGUGUUGCUUUCUCACUGGAAGUUGGUUUUGAGAUGCAACUGUUUGUUCCUGUAAAACUUGUCCGGGUAAUGAGUGGGCAGCCUGAAUAUUUGACUGCUGAGAUGGUUGUGAUGAUUGCUGAGGUUGUUGUGGUGCUGCAGGCUGAAUAUUUGGAAUCACUUGAGGAGGCUGCACCAUUCCAAGCAUAAUUUGUGCCUGGAAAAGUGCCUUCGUCAAGAGAGGAUUCUGGAUGAGGAUCUCUCUUGCUUGUUGCUUGUUCUGCUCAAUUAACGCCUUCAUCUGAGACAUAAUGUCAUAUAGUUGGUUCUUCGUCAUUCCAGCAAGGUUCUCUGUUAAUCCAUCGCCGGCGAUUGGCUUUCCCGCCAUUGCUUCAC